rnacentral:lncRNA from 1 species
AUCAAUCUUCCAACUAGGUAUUUAAGACUUCGAAAUGCUGAAAUUUUGCCCUCAUUUCUCCCAUAAUUAUUUUCUCCUCCCUCUCUCUUCUCUCUCUCUUUCUCCAUAACUGUCGCCCCUCCACCACCGUCGGAAAUCGCCCACCGGCGGUGGACCACCUCCAAACCAUCUCAGAAUUUCACCAUGUAAUCUCCAACACCUCCUCUUUCCAUAUAUCCAAACCAAAUCCUUCAAAAAAACCUCAAACUACUUGAAUUUUAGAUCUAGGAAAUUUUUCCGUCACUUUUUUGCCCAAAUUCUUGAAGCUCCGGCUACUACCACCCCACAAUACCUAUAUCAAUGGAUAGAACUCCUUAAGACCUACCUAUUGAUUCCAAUUCUACCCUAAAAAUUCGGUGAUCAAAAUCCGGCCAAAUUCCGGCAACCUCCCCGAACACCCUCUUUUGGCAUACCACCAUUUUUUCGGCCUUUUGAUUUGUAAAAUGGUAAAAAUUCUAUUCUUUUUCAUGACUGAUUUUUUAUUUUAUUUUUAGUUUUCAGAUUUUAUUUUAUCUUUUAUUAAUUAUUUUAGCAUUAGUUUUUGAUGUUCGAAAUAUUAAAUUUUCUGUUUUGCACUUGUUGAAGUAGUAAAAUAGUUUUGUAUUGAUGAAAGUGAGGUAGUGAAGAAUAACUUGAGAGUAUAGGGUAGUUGUUUGUUUGUUUUUUUACUGCUUUAAGACUUUGUGAAUACAAUACUCAAAAGUCAUUUGUUUGGUCAGAAAAUAUAGACUUUUGGACAAUUUUUGAAUAAAAGUCUAUCUUUGAAUAGUGAAGAGCAGAUUUUGUUUGAAAUACUCUCUGUUGGACAAGAUUGAACCAAAAAAGUCUUGCUUUUGAAUUUAAGAGAAGAUUUUGUGGAAAAAUAUGUCAAAAAGAUUAAUUUUUAAUCUUGAAAUAGCUGUUUGUUUCUCAGAUAUAAAGAAAGGGGAGGACACUCCAUCUGAUGGAAGAGCUCUACACACAAAAAAGAGGGGGAAAAAUCAGUAGCUAUAAUAUCCCUUAGCAGCUUUUGUGAGUUGAUUCUUAAGUGAAAAACUUGUUUAAGGAAAAUAGAGUAGUCUUGAAAGAUUUUUCUGGAGUUACAUAAUUGUACUGUUUUGCUGGGAUAUUUCUAGUUUAUAUUUUUGAGUUUGAAUCUGCCGGUUAUCGCUGUCUUUUGCUAUUGAUUUUGGAAAGAGUUGACUCUGAUGUAUUUGUUCUUCUUUCUGUUGUCCAGGUAAUUUUCGGAUCAUGUAAACUCAUAAAAUCGAGUUGAAAUGAAAGAUAAUGAUGCUGGGAAAUAUUAGUAGCUUCAUCCUUCUAUAAUAAUUCAUUUGUAUAUGCUCUUGAAUGUUUGAUAAUGUUAUAACGAUAUGUUAGUUAAUUAAAUUGUGUUAAGCAUUUUUAAUUAUUUUUAUUUUUUGCAAAACAUUAGAUAUAAUUCCACUGGGCAUUUGGUUGUCUGAAAGGAGCAUAUAUAUAUAUUAAAAUUUGAACCCUUGUAGCUAUGUUUAUCCCUUUGUCGUCACCAAGC